rnacentral:rRNA from 1 species
GACGAACGCUGGCGGCGUGCUUAACACAUGCAAGUCGAACGGUAAGGCCCUUCGGGGUACACGAGUGGCGAACGGGUGAGUAACACGUGGGUGAUCUGCCCUGCACUUCGGGAUAAGCCUGGGAAACUGGGUCUAAUACCGGAUAGGACCCUGGGAUGCAUGUCCUGGGGUGGAAAGCUUUUGCGGUGUGGGAUGGGUCCGCGGCGUAUCAGCUUGUGGGGGGGGUGAUGGCCUACCAAGGCGACGACGGGUAGCCGGCCGGAGAGGGUGACCGGCCACACUGGGACUGAGAUACGGCCCAGACUCCUACGGGAGGCAGCAGUGGGGAAUAUUGCACAAUGGGCGCAAGCCUGAUGCAGCGACGCCGCGUGAGGGAUGACGGCCUUCGGGUUGUAAACCUCUUUCAGCACCGACGAAGCGCAAGUGACGGUAGGUGCAGAAGAAGGACCGGCCAACUACGUGCCAGCCGCCGCCGUAA